GACAGAGGAUGCAAGCGUUAUCCGGAAUGAUUGGGCGUAAAGCGUCUGUAGGUGGCUUUUCAAGUCCGCCGUCAAAUCCCAGGGCUCAACCCUGGACAGGCGGUGGAAACUGCCAAGCUGGAGUACGGUAGGGGCAGAGGGAAUUUCCGGUGGAGCGGUGAAAUGCGUUGAUAUCGGAAGGAACGCCGGUGGCGAAAGCGCAUCACUGGACCUCUUCUGACGCUGAGGCGCGAAAGCCAGGGGAGCAAACGGG
rnacentral:rRNA from 1 species